rnacentral:rRNA from 1 species
AUACGUAGGGUGCAAGCGUUAAUCGGAAUUACUGGGCGUAAAGCGUGCGCAGGCGGUUUUGUAAGACAGUGGUGAAAUCCCCGGGCUCGACCUGGGAACUGCCAUUGUGACUACAAAGCUGGGGUGCGGCAGAGGGGGAUGGAAUUCCGCGUGUAGCAGUGAAAUGCGUAGAUAUGCGGGGGUACACCGGUGGCAAAGGCAAUCCCCCUGUCCUGCUCUGACGUUCAUGCACCAAAGCGUUGGGAGCAAACAGGAUUGUAUAACCUGGUAGUCCACUCCCUAAACUAGGUCAACUGGUUGUUGGGGAUUUAUUUUCUCAUUAACUAAGCUAACGCGUGUAGGUGACAGCCUGGGGAGUACGGCCGCAAGGUUAAAACUCAAAUGAAUUGACGGGG